AAGUCGUAACAAGGUUUCCGUAGGUGAACCUGCGGAAGGAUCAUUACAAAUGUCUGGGAUGUCCAAUCGGACCCCCCAAGCAAAUACAUCCUUGUGUACUCUUCCAUGUUGCUUUCCCAGACCAGUGGCCACUGCUGCCAGCCCAGCCCAUAAUCGGUUCCUGGGUUGAGGUGUCUGGGGAAGGGCUCACUAUCAAACUUUGAAAACCAAUUAGUUGUCUGAGAAGGCCACCUGCCGUAAUUUUUAAAACAUGUUAAAACUUUCAACAACGGAUCUCUUGGCUCUCGCAUCGAUGAAGAACGCAGCGAAAUGCGAUAAGUAAUGUGAAUUGCAGAAUUCAGUGAAUCAUCGAAUCUUUGAACGCACAUUGCGCCCUUUGGUAUUCCUUAGGGCAUGCCUGUUCGAGCGUCACUAAAAACCCCCUCACAGAUAAUGUGNUAUUGGUAGAAGUGAACGGUACUUGCAUUACCUUUUCUCACUCUGCUGAAAUGAAUAGGCCAGAGAAGUGGACCCAUGGUAAUUGACUCCAGGAGUGUUUUNCAAUGCUAAACUAGUCUUUACCNAAGUCAGGUUCUGAGCUACUGGACCCCCAUUUAGUCCGAAACAGAGUGGUUGACCUCGGAUCAGGUAGGGAUACCNGCUGAACUUAAGCAUAUCAAUAAGCGGAGGAAAAGAAACCAACAGGGAUUGCCUUAGUAACGGCGAGUGAAGCGNCAAAAGCUCAAAUUUGAAAUCUGACACUUCUGGUGUCCGAGUUGUACUUUGGAGAGGCAUCUUCUGGAGGGGCCCAGCCUAUGUGCCUUGGAACAGGACGUCAUAGAGGGUGAGAAUCCCGUCCUUGGCUGGAUGAUCCCUCCUGUAUGUAGUGUCUUCUACGAGUCGAGUUGUUUGGGAAUGCAGCUCAAAAUGGGUGGUAAAUUUCAUCUAAAGCUAAAUAUUGGCGAGAGACCGAUAGCGCACAAGUAGAGUGAUCGAAAGAUGAAAAGCACUUUGAAAAUAGAGUCAAACAGUACGUGAAAUUGUUGAAAGGGAAGCGCUUGAGAUCAGAGUCGGCCUUUGGCAAACGACUGUCCCUUCUGGGUGGUGCACUUGUCAUUGGUUGGGCCAGCAUCGGUUGGGACGGCAGGAUAAAGGCCAGGGGAAUGUGACUCCUCUAUGGAGUGUUAUAGCCCCAGGCGGCAUGCUGUCAGCCCCGACCGUGGACCGCGCCUUGGCUCGGAUGCUGGCUUAAUGGUCUUCAGCGACC
rnacentral:rRNA from 1 species